GUUGGCAAUGAGGUUCAGAGCUUGUGACUAUGCUGCAUUCCAGCUGUGAAGCUCUUGAAAUGAAUUGGUUAAAGUUUUCUACACAACAUUAGCCCAGAAAAUUUUGUUAGUGUCUCAAAAGCAGUAGCUGAUAUAUACGAAGACAAGUGCUACAAAAAUUUGGUUUUUAUUUUGCUGGAGAUCUAAGUUAUACAUCUG
rnacentral:sRNA from 1 species